rnacentral:rRNA from 1 species
GACGGAGGGUGCUAGCGUUGUUCGGAAUCACUGGGCGUAAAGGGCGCGUAGGCGGCCUCAGGUGUCGGAUGUGAAAGCCCGGGGCUCAACCCCGGAGGUGCAUCCGAAACUCUGGGGCUGGAGGCCGGAAGAGGAGGGUGGAAUACCCAGUGUAGAGGUGAAAUUCGUAGAUAUUGGGUGGAACACCGGUGGCGAAAGCGGCUCUCUGGUCCGGACCUGACGCUGAGGCGCGAAAGCGUGGGGAGCAAACAGG